rnacentral:rRNA from 1 species
UACGAAGGGGGCUAGCGUUGCUCGGAAUCACUGGGCGUAAAGGGCGCGUAGGCGGAUCUUUAAGUCGGGGGUGAAAGCCCAGGGCUCAACCCUGGAAUUGCCUUCGAUACUGAAGAUCUCGAGACCGGAAGAGGUAAGUGGAACUGCGAGUGUAGAGGUGAAAUUCGUAGAUAUUCGCAAGAACACCAGUGGCGAAGGCGGCUUACUGGCCCGGUUCUGACGCUGAGGCGCGAAAGCGUGGGGAGCAAACAGG